UACGUAGGGUGCGGGCGUUGUCCGGAAUUAUUGGGCGUAAAGAGCUCGUAGGCGGUGUGUCACGUCGGCCGUGAAAACCUGCAGCUUAACUGUGGGCGUGCGGUCGAUACGGGCAUCACUGGAGUUCGGCAGGGGAGACUGGAAUUCCUGGUGUAGCGGUGAAAUGCGCAGAUAUCAGGAGGAACACCGGUGGCGAAGGCGGAUCUCUGGGCCAUUACUGACGCUGAGGAGCGAAAGCGUGGGGAGCGAACAGG
rnacentral:rRNA from 1 species